CCCUUAGAUGUUCUGGGCCGCACGCGCGCUACACUGACGAAUGCAACGAGCUUAUAACCUUGGCCGAAAGGUCUGGGUAAUCUCCAAAUUUCGUCGUGAUGGGGAUAGAUUAUUGCAAUUAUUAAUCUUCAACGAGGAAUGCCUAGUAAGCGCAAGCCAUCAGCUUGCGUUGAUUACGUCCCUGCCCUUUGUACACACCGCCCGUCGCUCCUACCGAUUGAAUGGUCCGGUGAAGCGUUCGGACCGUGGCCUUUGGACGGUUCGCCGUCUGUUGGCUGCGGGAAGUUCGUUAAACCUUAUCAUUUAGAGGAAGGAGAAGUCGUAACA
rnacentral:rRNA from 1 species